rnacentral:lncRNA from 1 species
GGGCAAAGACAAGGUCGCCCAGGUACAGCGCUGGCGCAGGUAGACCCGAGCCGGCCUGGGGUCUGCAGCGGGGCCUGCUAGCCGAAGUCUCCACCAGGAUGGGCCGCCAGAGCCCAAUCACACAUGAGAAACGCGACAGAUGCUGGGACGCUGCAAUAGGCCAAACUAACUUACCUCCUGUGCCAGCAGCGCCCAAGUGCAGCUGCCCAAACGUGAGCACUGACCGUGAGCCAGGCACUGUCCUAAGCACUUUGCAGGUAAAUACGUGUAAUCCUCACAGCAACACUGGGAGAAAUACCCGUCUCACAGCUGAAGAAACGAAGACGCAGAAAGGGUAGACAGAAGUAAUUUUCUAGUUACGGUAUCACACUAUGUCUGCUUCAUAUAAUUUCAAAUUUUUCAUGUUACUGGAAUUUAAGAAAAAUAAACUGAAGGGAAUCUCUAUUGCUUUCUUCCCUAAAAGACGUGCUUUUUAAAAGGCCUAUAAGCAUUACGUAAAAAGAUUAAGAGAGGUGUAAGGAGCUCACUACAUGUUCGGGUUUAGAAAGUCUCAUAGCUCUGACAGAUGAGGUUAAUUAGCAUCAUACACCUCCACCUACCUUUAGGGGGUAACCCUGCCUCUCAAUUUCCAUUAGUUCUGUUACUUUCGGCUUCCUAGCAAUGAGAACAUUUGCAAUUGCUCUGCAACUUUAUUUUUCCAGAUGUUGUCUUAAUUCUAUCUUUAAAUGAAUUUGAUAUUCACUGUAACUUAUCCCUGAAUUUUUAUUUUUAUUUAGUUCAUUGAUUACAUGUUGAAAUAAUAUUUUAGAUAUAUUGGAUAUAAUUCGAAGUAACUUAAACUAUUUUUAAAAUGUGGCUACUGGAACAUUUUAAAUUACCUAUCUAGCUUACAUGAUAUUUCUGUUUGACAACACUGUUUUAGAAGAAAACCUAGGGAUAGGCAGAGACUG